UUUUUUUUUUUUUUUAUAAUUUUAUACAAAAUGUCUGUGAUAUAGAGACACUACACCCAGUGUAGAUGGAGGACCAAAUCUGCAGAAAUUAUGAAUAAAUAAACAAUAAACAAAUAAAUGUAAUAGGAAAUUAAAGGAAUAAAUGACUUGACAAAACAGAACUCGUUUUCAAUGAUAAUUUAAUCCUGAAUUUAUUUUUGUAUUAACUUUUUUCCUUCCUUUAUUAUUAGGUUUUACGUAGCUACAUAUUCCUUUUAGAUAGUCAUUGCAUAGCUACAGUGUAUCAUUGGUUAAUAGGUCACACAUAGAAGCAUCAAUUGUCAGAUCUAACUAAGGAAUAGAGAUCAGAGUUUUCUAUGAGAUGUCAAGUCAACUGGAGAGUUCCAAGUUAUUUCAAGGUUGAUGACACCUAGAAACCCUGAAUCCCUGUGUUUUAUUUUAUAAUCACAGAGAAAAGCUUAACGCCGAAAAGCGUAAAAGCCAUUGUAACAACCUACUGUUCACUAGGUGGCAUCAACCUAGAAUCUGAUGAUGUUGAUGGUUCUGGCCUUGAUUACUUUGCCGUGAGUAAGGAUCACAUAGUAGGGCUGUGCGAUAUGGACAAAAAAAAAUCUAUCGCGAUUUUUUGAUAAAUUGUGUGAUUUCGAUUUUAAUCACGAUUUUGACACACACAGACAUGCUUUACAGUCAUAAAUGCAUUCAGUAUAAAUUUGAAACAUAUUUCCAAAAGAAAACCAAUAAGAGCUUUAUCAAAAAGUUGUAAGUCAAAAUAAUCACUAAGUAAAGAUGUCAAACAAAAUGUUUAGACAUAUGGCAAAAAAUAAAUAAAUAAAAUAAAACCUAUGUCCAGGGAUUUUUUUUUCUUUCUUGCCAUGCAUUGGUCAUAGAGCUCACUGUAUCGGUGGCUCAGGUGUUGAAAUAGAUUUGUUAUACAUUAUACAGGUUCACACGUACUCCGUCUGCAAUGCGUAUACAGUAUGUGUACGCGGUGCAGAAGCAGCAGUGAGAGCGCGUUAUUGUAACGCGAAAGCACAUUCAAUAUUGCGUGAGUGCAAAUAUCUCUGCUCGCACGUAGAUUUCCUUUGCUCUAUCACAAAACCAGACGUGCGUGCUCAGAUACAUGCUGCUCUCACCCGGAGAGAGUGCCUGCACUUAAAACGUGUUUCCCUUCGCUCAAACGGUGUCUUGUGCUCUCACAACUCUCUCUAUGCUCCAAAAAAAUACGCAUCACAGACAGAGUGUGUGAACCUGGAGUUAGGCAUAUGCCCAGUCUGUUCUGUUCUUGCGCUCCACUUAGGUGCACUGCAUGAUUUUAUUACAAAUUCGAUUUAAUAUAUUAUUAUUGUUGUAUGAAUUAUAUUAUGACAAAAUGGGUGAAUAAAUCUCAUCAUAUAUACUUACA
ensembl:lncRNA